rnacentral:rRNA from 1 species
UUUAGUUAACUACAAUAAACCAAGAUAGUAAAAGCUAUGUCCUCCAAACCUAAAGGAUUUGGCGGUAAUUUAGUCCAGUUAGAGGAACCUGUUUGGUAAACGAUAAACCACGAAAAAUCUUACCUACUUUUAAAGUUUGUAUACCAUCAUUAUUAGAUAACUUUCAAUGAAAAAGUUAUUUCAAUAAAUUUACUCUUAGUAUAUUAGAUCAAGGUGCAGCCUAUAAGUAGGUCUUAAUGGGUUACAAUAAAACUUAUUUACAACGGAUAUAGAAUUUAAAUAUUCUAUUAAAGGAGGAUUUAAUAGUAAAAUUGGUUUAAUAUGCCAUAUUGAUAAAGGAUCUAAAUUGAGUACAUAUCGCCCGUCGCU